AAAAGACUUCAUUGUGAUGCUGUGAACUUGGUGCUCCAUAUUUUCCGUAUUUGUCCUACUCUUUUCAGUGCCUUUUGUCAACCUCACCACCCUAGGAUGAUGCAUUGCAAACACCCCAUACAUGUUCUGCCUGCCUCCUUGGUCCCCUCCCACCCCCACACAUCUGCAGUUCCCAUGCUGACAGAUGAAUCUUGCUUUGGUCCUGUCCCUGUAACCACUGUCAGGUUAAAUAAGAGUGCCUCCUGGGCAGUAGUCAUCAAGCAGGUUUGGUUUUUUCCUGUCAAUAUCCCCAUGAAUUUAUUUGGUGGGUCUAGUUCUUUUCCUUCUCCUGGACGAAAACUUGGACAGACCCCUUGAUUUCUCUGGCAACUCUCAGGUAAUAAAAAGUCCUGUGGUCAUUUUAAAUUAAAACAAGAACAACACAGACUCUGUUGGGUAAUUGAAACAGCCAGUCCAUUUUAAUCAUCAGAAUGUUGAACUUGACUUCAGGUUGCUGCUCCCAGCCUCGUCCUUGCUGAGGCCACUGGUGAGGGGUCAUCCACUUCCCCCAUGGCUAACUUUGGUACCUGCCCUUCCAGAGUUGAGCAGGAGAAAGAGGGGAGGACAAAGGGGGCAGGAAAGGUGUUACUCUGUGGGUAAAGUCAUAGGGUCUAGCACUCCUGAGAGGUGCUUAAAGUCUCCUGAGCACUUUUGUGGGUUCUUUGAAGAACUCCCCCUUUUUGCUAGGGAUGCCUUGUCACUGUCUCUUCACAUGGACUAAAGCUUCUCCAUUCCGGCUGGUUGUCCUCCCCUUCCCCAGCCCUUAGAAAUCUAGGGGUACAUCUGGCUGAUUCUACUGGUAUCUCUGCCACUCUAAAUGGUCCACUUGGAUAGGACUUAAGAUGACCCCAUUCAUGGACAUAUCUGGUGCACAGAAAAUUCCCGUACAUGAUGUAUCCUGACAAAGCUGGAGUGCAGGUUGGUCCUCAGCUAAGUCGUCUUUGCUGAAGAGUAGCUAGCCAGCCCACCUUCUCUCGUUAGGUCUCCCAAAUGGGAGUGCAUCACUGGUCCACUGUUAGCCCCAAACUGCAAAGAACAUGGACUAUGUGCCCCAAGAAGUUCACUUAAAACUCUCUUCCCUUAGCCCUAAGAUAAAGGGCAGGCACUUCCCUCCUCCAAGGAUGCC
rnacentral:lncRNA from 1 species